rnacentral:lncRNA from 1 species
CAGCCUUUGCAGGGCCUCCUGCUCCUGAGCCUCAUUUACAGCCGAGGGAGCCGUCCCCACGCCUGCCCGGCACCGAGGCCCAGCUCUCCCCGGCAUGGGCACUGGCUGGAACAUGCUACCCGACUUGGCCGGAAGGUCUCUUCAGUGUUUAUUUUUGGUGCCGGGGAGGGCGAGGACACGGAACACAGGGAGGUGGCCUGACUUGCCCAGGUGACCCCAGGAACCCGCUCCCCUUGCUGCUCUGGGCUCUGGGGCCACAUAGGGAGGCAGCCUGCAGGGCCCCUGCCCCAGAGAAAGGUCAGACCCUAGGCUCAGUGCGAGCUGCAGGAGCCAAGCCGACCUGGGUUCAAAUCCCAGUCCGCUCGCUCCUUCGGGGCCCACAGCUCAUUCCUCAUCCGUGAGUGGGGCGCACAUGCGAUGCUGCUGCCUCUCAGAAGGGCCGGAGCACCCAGUGAGGACCACACUCCAACUCGGGGCCAGGCUUGGGGCUGGAGCUCAGCAAAUAUCCCCUCAGCCCUCCUUUCCUGCACUGACAUGUGAAGGGGACAGCUCAGCGGUGCAGACAGGCCUCGAGAGAGGGAAGGGGACAGCUCAGCGGUGCAGACAGGCCUGGAGAGAGGGAGGUUCAGGUCCCAGCCCUGCCUCUGACCUACUCUGAACCUCAGUAUCUUCAUCUGCCUCUUAUGGCUGCUGUGCUGUGCAUGAGACCCCAGAGGGCUCUCUUGCCCCUUCUGCCAUGUGAGGACACAGCGAGAAGAUGGCUGUCUGUGAACCAGGAAGUGGACCCUCACCAGACACGGAAUGCACUGGAGUCCUGCUCUUGGACUUCCCAGCCUGGAGAACUGUGAGAGACGAAUGCAGCUUGCAUGGCUUGCCAAGUGGUGCCAUGUUUAUACCUGGGAUCCGAACCCGUGAACCCCCGGACACUGAAGCAGAAUGUGUGCACUCAACUGCUGCGUCCCCGGGCCGGCCACACAUUUAUUCUUAAAUAAUUAGCCCUGAGCUAACUGCUGCCAAUCCUCCUCUUUUUGCUGAGGAAGACUGGCCCUGAGCUAACAUCCAUGCCCAUCCUCCUCUACUUUAUAUGUGGGACACCUGCCACAGCAUGGCUUUUGCCAAGUGGGGCCAUGUCCGCACCCAGGAUCCGAACCAGCGAACCCCGGGCCACCGAAGCGGAACUUGUGCACUUAACCGCUGUGCCACCGGGCCGGCCCCUGAUAAAGCUUUUGAUUUUGAUCUUUUUCCAGAUAAAGAAGGACAAUUUAUAUUUGUCUCCCUCUCUUCCUCUUAGUUGGGUCAAAUCACUUCUAAACUACCAGUUGGCCUUUGUGAGAGGUGACUUGAUUUCUUAUUUUAAAACUAUUUAUAUUAUGGAAACUUUUCAAUAUAGACAAAACUACAGAACCAUAUAAAAUGAACCCCCACGUACCCAUCAACCAGCUCAGAUAUACACCAAAUCAAUAUAUUUAUCUCCAUUUGUUCUCCCAUCCAAUAGUAUUUUGAAGAAGCUCUCAUCCGUCAUAUAAAUUAAUCCCUAAAUAUUUAAGAAGUAUCUCUAAAAGAAAAGGACUAAAAAGAAACCCAAUUCCCAUUACUGUCCUAUAACAAUAAUUUCCUAGCAUCAUCAAGUGUCAUCUUUUACAAUUUGCUUGUUUGAGUGAGGAUCUAAAUAAGGCCUGUGAGAGUGUAUAAUUGGCCAACGUCUCUUAAGUCUCGUUCAGACUACAUUUAUAUUAGUACAGGCUCCUACUCUUUCUCUUUUAUUUUCCUUGCAAUUUGAUGAAGAAACCAGGUCCUUUGUCCUUCAUAUAAAAAUAUUUUAUUUGAUGGGAUUAUAUAGAUAAUAUUCUUUAGCAAUAUAUGUUGGCCGUCUUUCCUCUUAGUACCUAUAAGUCAAUUUUUGGUUUUUAGCUGGUGCACAGAACUCCAUAGUUACUAUUUUUUAAAAUGUCUUAUCUCCUCUACUUACCUACAUGAGCCUUGGAGGAGAUAAUUCACUCAGCAAACAUUUAAUGAGCACCUAGUCUCUGCUAGGCCCCAUGCCCGAUCCUGAGAGCUGUAGUAGGAAUAAGCCAGACAGGUUCCCGAAGCUUCAACUCAGACUUUCAUGGUCUGCAGCAUGUUUGAAGAGACCUUGUUAAAUGCAGGUCCCAGGGCCCCCUCCCAGACGGGCUGUCUCUCUCGUCUAGCACUGUCCUGUACAAAUGCGUGUCAAUUUACAUUUUCUAGUAAUUAUGUAAAAAGAUA